CCGUGCGAAGGUAGCGUAAUCACUUGUCUUUUAAAUAAAGACUAGUAUGAAUGGCACCACGAGGAUUUAGCUGUCUCCUUAGACUCAUCAGUGAAACUGAUCUCCCCGUGCAAAAGCGGGGAUAAACACAUAAGACGAGAAGACCCUAUGGAGCUUAAAACUUACAGCCACCUAUGCUUUCUGCUAAAAUAAAUAGCACUAUAAUAAUUGAUCUGGCCUACGUUUUCAGUUGGGGUGACUAUGGAGAAAAACCCAUCCUCCAUGAAGAAACAAGCCUUGAGUUACCACUCUACGCAUUAGCAAGCCUGACUUUACUUGAUCCAAUCUAUUUGAUCAACGGACCAAGUUACCCUGGGGAUAACAGCGCAAUCCAUUUCAAGAGUCCUUAUCGACAAAUGGGUUU
rnacentral:rRNA from 1 species